UUCUGUUUUUGUUUUGGGGAAAUAGAAUGAUAUAAGUAUGAUAUAUCAUACCUAAGGUACCCAGGGAACACAAAUCAAAAGGCGGCAUUAUUUGGUGGCCGGUAUCGCCAUUUAUAAGACAGAAAACGCACAAAAAUUAUGUACUUCCUGGAGAGAUUCGAUUCGAUUCUUAUUGGUAAAGGAGGGACGGAGGACUUUACACACGAACGAGCACAUAUAUUGUAUAUUCUCAUUCCGUCUACAUGGCUAUGUUGUCAAGAGUACAAACUAUUUGUGGGUUCAUUUGUGGUGGAAGGGAAAAAGUACGUAUAAAACUUACAGACUAUGCAGAUUCAUAAGUUGCAUAAAUAAAAUUGGACGGUUCCGGUUCCUUCAACGUGCGAUUCCA
rnacentral:sRNA from 1 species